UACGUAGGGUGCAAGCGUUAAUCGGAAUUACUGGGCGUAAAGCGUGCGCAGGCGGCUUUGCAAGACAGAUGUGAAAUCCCCGGGCUUAACCUCGGGAACUGCAUUUGUGACUGCAUGGCUGGAGUGCGGCAGAGGGGAUGGAAUUCCGGCGUGUAGCAGUGAAAUGCGUAGAUAUGCGGAGGAACACCGAUGGCGAAGGCAAUCCCCUGGGCCUGCACUGACGCUCAUGCACGAAAGCGUGGGGAGCGAAACAAGG
rnacentral:rRNA from 1 species